rnacentral:rRNA from 1 species
UUCGUGAAAUCUCACGGCUUAACUGUGAGCGUGCGGGCGAUACGGGCAGACUUGAGUACUGCAGGGGAGACUGGAAUUCCUGGUGUAGCGGUGGAAUGCGCAGAUAUCAGGAGGAACACCGGUGGCGAAGGCGGGUCUCUGGGCAGUAACUGACGCUGAGGAGCGAAAGCGUGGGGAGCGAACAGGAUUAGAUACCCUGGUAGUCCACGCCGUAAACGGUGGGUACUAGGUGUGGGUUUCCUUCCUUGGGAUCCGUGCCGUAGCUAACGCAUUAAGUACCCCGCCUGGGGAGUACGGCCGCAAGGCUAAAACUCAAAGAAAUUGACGGGGGCCCGCACAAGCGGCGGAGCAUGUGGAUUAAUUCGAUGCAACGCGAAGAACCUUACCUGGGUUUGACAUGCACAGGACGCCGGCAGAGAUGUCGGUUCCCUUGUGGCCUGUGUGCAGGUGGUGCAUGGCUGUCGUCAGCUCGUGUCGUGAGAUGUUGGGUUAAGUCCCGCAACGAGCGCAACCCUUGUCUCAUGUUGCCAGCGGGUAAUGUCCGGGGANCUCGUGAGAGACUGCCGGGGUCAACUCGGAGGAACGGUGGGGAUGACGUCAAGUCAUCAUGCCCCUUAUGUCCAGGGCUUCACACAUGCUACAAUGGCCGGUACAAAGGGCUGCGAUGCCGCGAGGUUAAGCGAAUCCUUUUAAAGCCGGUCUCAGUUCGGAUCGGGGUCUGCAACUC